rnacentral:misc_RNA from 1 species
AGCAGUCUUUAAGGUAUGACAAAUGUAUUCCAGCUUCCUCAGAGAAGUAAACAGUGCGCCCUGUGACUGUGGUACAGCAUCCACUUUUUGGCCCUGAACCAGUAGUAACAACAUGCACAAACUGUGGGAAAGAAGUAACAACGGAAAUCAGCCGACACACCUCUGCUUGUUCAUAUAUCACGUGUAUUCUAAGUAUUUUUAUUUGUUGUCCUUGUUUCUGGUUGCCUCUUGUUUGCCCAUGGUUUAUGGACACCAUCCACGCAUGCCCGAACUGUAAGGAAACCAUGGGGAUAUAUUCAAGGUUUAACUGAACGAAACAAGCAUGAGGAAAAUUAAAGAACAAUGUGCAAACUAUAUUUCAAUACAUAUUGGCAGCUAAUGGUAAUAUGGCCGAUAUUGUAAAUGAACAGAUAAAAAUGCUACAGAUUAAACUCCAUACUUUCAUUAAUUUUCCUAUUGCUCAACUCCGCCAUCUGUAUUUUACAAUAAGAUGUUUCAUUCUAACAAAUGAUUUGCAUUUACAGUUGCCUAUUUUGAACAAAUAUUAUCCACUUAUUAGGGAAACUUCAUGUGAUAAUAAAUUCUGUUCUUUUUUUCUAAUUUAAUAACUUAAUUAUAAGUUGUGUGAUAUUAUGUUCGUAAUGUCAGUUGUAGUUAUAAAGGGAAAUAUGAAUUAUUUGUGACGAUUUUAUUAAGUCAAAAAAUUUUAUGACAAAUAUUUAUGUAGUUUCUAUGUUAAUGAAUGAUUGUCUUUAGAUGUGAAUUAUAUGUUAAAUCUUUUGAAUCCCGCGUAUAAUAUUGAUAUAGAAUUUUAGUGUUUUUUUGCUAUGAUUUGAAAAUGGAACUUAUUUAUAUGAGUUAAUUGCUGUAUUUCAUCAGCAAAAACCUAUAUCUUACUAUAAAUGUAUUUAUAGUAUGUCAUUUUUAUUCAAUAGAAAUUACUACUUCACUAGUAUUUAUGUAUUCAGUUUUGCACGUUGAUUGCAUGGUUUGAAUUUUUAUAAGUUAAAAUUUGUUAAAAAUUAUAGAAAAUUAAUUUUCUAUUUAUCAUCAAUUAUGUUUGUGUAAAAAAUUUCCAGUAGUUAUAUUAAUAGCUUAUUUAAUGUAUAGUGUUAAAAUAAUUACAAAUAACUCUCCUUUUCUCCAUUAAGUCUCAUAAAUGGAUGAAUAAGGUGACCAUUGUUAAAAAGAGAAGUUUCCACAUUCUUUUAAAUAAAAAUGUUAAUAAAAAUAAUUAUUGAAACGAAAAAGA